GGAUCAGCAGGUUGGUCUUGCCACUGGUAUGUACUAGCUUGCUGAUUCCUCCUUCUUGUAGAACCGUAAUGCCAUUAAUUUGGUGUUGCGGGGAAACGGGACUGUUACUUUGAAAAAAUUAGAGUGUUUAAAGCAGGCCAGCGCCUGAAUGCAUUAGCAUGGAAUAAUGAAAUAGGACGUUCGAACCUAUUUUGUUGGUUUCUAGGAUUGACGUAAUGAUUAAUAGGGAUAGUUGGGC
rnacentral:rRNA from 1 species